rnacentral:rRNA from 1 species
CCUACGGGGUGCAGCAGUGGGGAAUAUUGGGCAAUGGGCGCAAGCCUGACCCAGCAAAGCCGCGUGAAGGAAGAAGGCCCUCGGGUUGUAAACUUCUUUUAUCAGGGACGAAGCAAGUGACGGUACCUGAUGAAUAAGCCACGGCUAACUACGUGCCAGCAGCCGGGGCAAUACGUAGGUGGCAAGCGUUAUCCGGAUUUACUGGGUGUAAAGGGCGUGUAGGCGGGAAAGCAAGGCAGAUGUGAAAACCAUGGGCUCAACCUGUGGCCUGCAUUUGAAACUGUUGUUCUUGAGUAGUGGAGAGGCAGACGGAAUGCGUAGUGUAGCGGUGAAAUGCGUAGAUAUUAGGAGGAACACCAGUGGCGAAGGCAGUCUGCUGGACAGCAACUGACGCUGAGGCGCGAAAGCGUGGGUAGCAAACAGGAUUAGAUACCCGAGUAGUC